rnacentral:rRNA from 1 species
UGGGCGCAAGCCUGAUGCAGCCAUGCCGCGUGUAUGAAGAAGGCCUUCGGGUUGUAAAGCACUUUCAGCGGGGAGGAAGGGAGUAAAGUUAAUACCUUUGCUCAUUGACGUUACCCGCAGAAGAAGCACCGGCUAACUCCGUGCCAGCAGCCGCGGUAAUA